CAGGGUGGCAGGAAGUCCACAGACUCAUCCUUCUCCCGGUUAGGAAUCUGCUGGCGAGAGACGCGGGACCUACAGAGCUGCUGUGAAGUCCAUCAUGACGCAACUCCCCCUCCUGAUGCUGCUCCUCUCCAUGGCCUCAACCGCCCACCUGUGCAACACAAGUGGGGGCACUGUGGCGCUGAAGCUCGCUCUCCAAAA